CCUACGGGAGGCAGCAGUGGGGAAUAUUGCGCAAUGGACGAAAGUCUGACGCAGCAACGCCGCGUGAGGGAUGACGGCCUUCGGGUUGUAAACCUCUUUCAGCAGGGACGAAGCGAGAGUGACGGUACCUGCAGAAGAAGGACCGGCCAACUACGUGCCAGCAGCCGCGGUAAUACGUAGGGUCCGAGCGUUGUCCGGAAUUAUUGGGCGUAAAGGGCUCGUAGGCGGUUCGUCACGUCGGGAGUGAAAACUCGGAGCUCAACUCCGAGCCUGCUUCCGAUACGGGCAGACUAGAGGUAGGCAGGGGAGAGCGGAACUCCUGGUGUAGCGGUGGAAUGCGCAGAUAUCAGGAAGAACACCGGUGGCGAAGGCGGCUCUCUGGGCCUUACCUGACGCUGAGGAGCGAAAGCGUGGGUAGCGAACAGGAUUAGAUACCCUGGUAGUCCACGCCGUAAACCGUUGGGCGCUAGGUGUGGGGGUACAUUCCACGUCCUCCGUGCCGCAGCUAACGCAUUAAGCGCCCCGCCUGGGGAGUACGGCCGCAAGGCUAAACUCAAAGGAAUUGACGG
rnacentral:rRNA from 1 species